rnacentral:siRNA from 1 species
AGGUCUGUGGGUAGCUCAUUA